AUUUGAUGUUAUGAUGUUUAUUAGGUGAUUUAGGAAAUAAUGAAAUUCAAUUGUAGGUUUAAAAUAUUUUCUUCUCAGGAAAAAAAAAUUAUCACAAUAGAUGCAUUUUUAAAAGAAAAAUAUUGAAGAUCAAGAAGUUGGAAAAGAUGGUCAAUCAUCUAUUUCAAACCAACACCUUGUUUGGAUUGGUGGAAAAGGGAGGGGAAGGAAAAUAACAAGGGGAAAAUAAGUUUGAAAGCACAUUUUCCCUUGUUUGGAGAGAAGAAGG
rnacentral:misc_RNA from 1 species